GCUAGAUAAACAUCCUAUGCAGUCGGACAGGCAGGUCAAAGGUUCAGUAAAUCAUAAGUAAAUAAGUGUGGCUUUGCUGUGCAGUUCAGAGUAUCAUAUUUAGCAGCAUGCUUCUUUUUCCCUCUUUCUCACACAUCUCCACACAACUCCUUUUCCCCCUCGGUCUUCAAAGCCAUCAAGCAUUUAUAGUGUGUGGGGCUCUUUAAGAGGAAUAAAGCUGAUAUUUACUGCGGGCUUUCAUUGAGUGUAAAGGCCCAGAUUUGUGGUGCCCAUAAACCACAUCUCCCCUUCCUGCCUGUAAAAAUUUAAUGCCACACAGCUACCACUGAGCUCCGGCUCCCAUGAGGCUUCCAUUCAUUUCUUUUUCCUUUCCUUGACAGAGAGCAGAGAGGUUAUUAAACCCUGCGAGGGAGCUCCGCCAUGUCUAAUUACGCCAACGAUCCAUCUGGCGGUUGUGCGGAUCGAUUGCGGUGCGGCUGGCGCCGUCUCCCACUAGCGGAGCGGACGGUGCGGAUGUGCACUUCACUGACUUUAAAGAACGCCACCAUGAAAGGCUGCUUAUCCAGUGCACCGUCACGUCCUACGAGCCCCGCCUCCUUGGAGCUGACGCUCUGUCCUGUUUAAAAAAAAGAUCACAAAAAGAGACGUGCAAUUGAAUCCCUCACCGCUGCUGGUCUCCACGCUGAUCUGCAGACCCAGGUUGUGUGCAGGACUCAUCACCCACAGGUUACUAGUGGCAGUGAUGUCAAACUCCAGCCAGCCCUCCUCAGCCGC